GGGUUGUGAGGUUAAGCGACUAAGCGUACACGGUGGAUGCCUAGGCAAUCAGAGGCGAUGAAGGACGUGCUAAUCUGCGAAAAGCGUCGGUAAGGUGAUAUGAACCGUUAUAACCGACGAUGUCCGAAUGGGGAAACCCAGUGCAAUUCGUUGCACUAUCGUUUGAUGAAUCCAUAGUCAAACGAGGCGAACCGGGGGAACUGAAACAUCUCAGUACCCCGAGGAAAAGAAAUCAACCGAGAUUCCCCUAGUAGCGGCGAGCGAACGGGGAGCAGCCCAGAGUCUUAAUCAGCAUCAGCAUCAGGAGAACGGUCUGGAAAGGCCGGCAAUAAAGGGUGAUAGCCCCGUAUCCGAAGGUGUUGGUGUUGUGAACUCGACGAGUAGGGCGGGACACGUGUUAUCCUGUCUGAAUAUGGGGGACCAUCCUCCAAGGCUAAAUACUCCUGAUUGACCGAUAGUGAACCAGUACCGUGAGGGAAAGGCGAAAAGAACCCCGGCGAGGGGAGUGAAAUAGAACCUGAAACCGUGUACGUACAAGCAGUGGGAGCCUUGAUUUAUCAGGGUGACUGCGUACCUUUUGUAUAAUGGGUCAGCGACUUAUAUUCUGUAGCAAGGUUAACCGAAUAGGGGAGCCGUAGGGAAACCGAGUCUUAACUGGGCGAAUGAGUUGCAGGGUAUAGACCCGAAACCCGGUGAUCUAGCCAUGGGCAGGUUGAAGGUUGGGUAACACUAACUGGAGGACCGAACCGACUAAUGUUGAAAAAUUAGCGGAUGACUUGUGGCUGGGGGUGAAAGGCCAAUCAAACCGGGAGAUAGCUGGUUCUCCCCGAAAGCUAUUUAGGUAGCGCCUCGUGAACUCAUCUUCGGGGGUAGAGCACUGUUUCGGCUAGGGGGUCAUCCCGACUUACCAACCCGAUGCAAACUACGAAUACCGAAGAAUGUUAUCACGGGAGACACACGGCGGGUGCUAACGUUCGUCGUGAAGAGGGAAACAACCCAGACCGCCAGCUAAGGUCCCAAAGUCAUGGUUAAGUGGGAAACGAAGUGGGAAGGCUCAGACAGCCAGGAUGUUGGCUUAGAAGCAGCCAUCAUUUAAAGAAAGCGUAAUAGCUCACUGGUCGAGUCGGCCUGCGCGGAAGAUGUAACGGGGCUAAACCAUGCACCGAAGCUGCGGCAGCGACAUGUAAAUGUUGUUGGGUAGGGGAGCGUUCUGUAAGCCUGUGAAGGUGUGCUGCGAGGCAUGCUGGAGGUAUCAGAAGUGCGAAUGCUGACAUAAGUAACGAUAAUGCGGGUGAAAAACCCGCACGCCGGAAGACCAAGGGUUCCUGUCCAACGUUAAUCGGGGCAGGGUGAGUCGACCCCUAAGGCGAGGCAGAAAUGCGUAGUCGAUGGGAAACAGGUUAAUAUUCCUGUACUGGUGAUAAUUGCGAUGGGGGGACGGAGAAGGCUAGGCUGGCCGGGCGACGGUUGUCCCGGUUUAAGGAUGUAGGUGGGUGAAUUAGGCAAAUCCGGUUCGCUAUACACUGAGGUCUGAUGACGAGUCACUACGGUGGCGAAGUAGCUCAUGCCCCGCUUCCAGGAAAAGCCUCUAAGCUCUAGAUUAUCAUUAAUCGUACCCCAAACCGACACAGGUGGUCAGGUAGAGAAUACUCAGGCGCUUGAGAGAACUCGGGUGAAGGAACUAGGCAAAAUGGUGCCGUAACUUCGGGAGAAGGCACGCUGGCAUUAGGUGAAGUGGUUUACCCAUGGAGCUGAAGCCAGUCGCAGAUACCAGCUGGCUGCAACUGUUUAUUAAAAACACAGCACUGUGCAAACACGAAAGUGGACGUAUACGGUGUGACGCCUGCCCGGUGCUGGAAGGUUAAUUGAUGGGGUUAUCCGUAAGGAGAAGCUCUUGAUCGAAGCCCCAGUAAACGGCGGCCGUAACUAUAACGGUCCUAAGGUAGCGAAAUUCCUUGUCGGGUAAGUUCCGACCUGCACGAAUGGCGUAAUGAUGGCCAGGCUGUCUCCACCCGAGACUCAGUGAAAUUGAACUCGCUGUGAAGAUGCAGUGUACCCGCGGCAAGACGGAAAGACCCCGUGAACCUUUACUAUAGCUUGACACUGAACAUUGAGCCUUGAUGUGUAGGAUAGGUGGGAGGCUUUGAAGUGUGGACGCCAGUCUGCAUGGAGCCAACCUUGAAAUACCACCCUUUAAUGUUUGAUGUUCUAACGUAGCCCCGUGAACCGGGGUGCGGACAGUGUCUGGUGGGUAGUUUGACUGGGGCGGUCUCCUCCCAAAGCGUAACGGAGGAGCACGAAGGUUGGCUAAGCAUGGUCGGACAUCAUGCGGUUAGUGCAAAGGCAUAAGCCAGCUUGACUGCGAGAGUGACGGCUCGAGCAGGUACGAAAGUAGGUCUUAGUGAUCCGGUGGUUCUGAAUGGAAGGGCCAUCGCUCAACGGAUAAAAGGUACUCCGGGGAUAACAGGCUGAUACCGCCCAAGAGUUCAUAUCGACGGCGGUGUUUGGCACCUCGAUGUCGGCUCAUCACAUCCUGGGGCUGAAGUAGGUCCCAAGGGUAUGGCUGUUCGCCAUUUAAAGUGGUACGCGAGCUGGGUUUAGAACGUCGUGAGACAGUUCGGUCCCUAUCUGCCGUGGGCGUUGGAAGAUUGAAAGGGGCUGCUCCUAGUACGAGAGGACCGGAGUGGACGCACCGCUGGUGUUCGGGUUGUCAUGCCAAUGGCACUGCCCGGUAGCUAAGUGCGGAAGAGAUAACCGCUGAAAGCAUCUAAGCGGGAAACUUGCCUUGAGAUGAGUCUUCCCUGACUCUUUAAGGGUCCUAAAGGAACGUUUAAGACGAAGACGUUGAUAGGCUGGGUGUGUAAGCGUAGCGAUACGUUGAGCUAACCAGUACUAAUGAACCGUGAGGCUUAACCUGACAACACCGAAGGUGUUUUAG
rnacentral:rRNA from 1 species